rnacentral:lncRNA from 1 species
UUAGAAAUAAAAGAAAAAAUGUUAGCAAAGCAACAGAUCUCAGACAGAAGAUACAAAGCUGUCAGAACAGAAAACACACACCUGAAGGGAAUGAUGGGAGACUUAGACCCUGCACGGUACUUGCAUCAAGACAGUAGAAGCAUCUGGAAGCACUCUCCCUUCUUCCUUGAGCAUGGCUGUGGAUCCUGUGAUUGGAGCACAGAUGGAUAAAAGGGAAGCUUGCUGGUCUCCCUAUGUGCUACAUUAAAAACCUACCCGUCA